ACCACCUUCCCUACCCUUCACCACCUUCCCUACCCUUAACUAGGGAAGGGCAGGUAACGGUUAAAGUUCCAAAAUAACUAGUAAUCAAAACGCGAUAUAAAGGUUACCAGUGAGAUGAUGGUUCGCGUCUUCUGUUGUUUCUUGAUUAUAAUUACCAUUAUUAACAGGCAGUGACGCAGAGCACUAUGGGUAAUGCCUCCAGCCACACUACACACCUGACCCGAGGUGUGGAGGAGACGCAGAGCACUAUGGGUAAUGCCUCCAGCCACACUACACACCUAACCCGAGGUGUGGAGGAGACGCAGAGCACUAUGGGUAAUGCCUCCAGCCACACUACACACCUAACCCGAGGUGUGGAGGAGACGCAGAGCACUAUGGGUAAUGCCUCCAGCCACACUACACACCUGACCCGAGGUGUGGAGGAGACGCAGAGCACUAUGGGUAAUGCCUCCAGCCACACUACACACCUGACCCGAGGUGUGGAGGAGACGCAGAGCACUAUGGGUAAUGCCUCCAGCCACACUACACACCUGACCCGAGGUGUGGAGGAGAGUCACCAGAGAAUGAUGUAAGAGAAGCAAAACAUUAACGAUAGCUACGUGGUGGAGAUUGAAUUGGGGAGCUCCAAAUAGCCAGAUGAUGAAGACUUGUUGAAGGGAAAGGUGUGCCAGGAGAAGACGAAGAGAAAUAUGGAGGAAAAUGUAGAGAAAGAUGAAGUAACGGGGAAGAUAAUUCUGGACGAGAAGACCAACGAGAGUUAACACGGACCUUAAAAUAUGUUGAUGUCCAUAACUCUGUCAGACAAGUAAUUGCAAAAGUUAAACUAAUUGUAGUAGAUGCAUGAGAGACAGGAAUGGGUUGAUAAGGAGCAGGAGAAACAGGAAUGGGUGGAUAAUGAGCAGGAGAGACAGGAAUGGAUGGAUAAGAAGCAGGAGAGACAAGAAUGGAUGGAUAAAACGCAGGAAAGAGAGGAAUGGGUAGAUAAGAAGCAGGAGAGAGAGGAAUGGGUGGAUAACUGGUAUAGAGAGCGGGAGGAGAAGAAGAGAAGGAAGGAGGAGAAGAAAGGGCAGAAGAAGAAAGCAGCAGAGAGGUAAAUAAGGGAGAAGAAUGAGAUAUAUAAGAGAAUGGGAUGGAUGGAGAAGGUGAGGAGAACAGUGGACGUGUUGUGUUUGGUGUUGAUGGUGUGUGUGUGUUGCCUAGCACUCUUUCUCACUUUCUUGUGACCCGUAUGUG